GACGAACGCUGGCGGCGUGCUUAACACAUGCAAGUCGAGCGGUAAGGCCCUUUCGGGGUACGACGAGCGCGAACGGGUGAGUAACACGUGGGUGACCUGCCCUCAGCUCUGGGAUAAGCCUCGGGAAACCGGGGUCUAAUACCGGAUAUGACUCCAUGACGCAUGUUGUGGGGUGGAAAGCCUUGUGCGGCUGAGGAUGGGCCCGCGGCCUAUCAGCUUGUUGGUGGGGUGAUGGCCUACCAAGGCGACGACGGGUAGCCGGCCUGAGAGGGCGACCGGCCACACUGGGACUGAGACACGGCCCAGACUCCUACGGGAGGGCAGCAGUGGGGAAUCUUGCGCAAUGGGCGAAAGCCUGACGCAGCGACGCCGCGUGAGGGAUGACGGCCUCG
rnacentral:rRNA from 1 species